CAACUGAUGAAUUACUGAAUUCUACGUCUGAAACUAAUGACGUUACUAUAUAUGGGCUAACUGAAUUUAAAUUAAAAAAGAAGAAAAUGGCAAAAUUAC